rnacentral:tRNA from 1 species
AGUUCCAGUGCCCAGAGCGUUAGAGCUUGGUGCUGAUAACACCAAGAUCGCGGGUUUGAUCCCCGUUUGGUCUC